rnacentral:rRNA from 1 species
AUUGAACGCUGGCGGCAUGCCUUACACAUGCAAGUCGAACGGUAACAGGUCUUCGGAUGCUGACGAGUGGCGAACGGGUGAGUAAUACAUCGGAACGUGCCCAGACAUGGGGGAUAACGAGGCGAAAGCUUUGCUAAUACCGCAUACGAUCUAAGGAUGAAAGCAGGGGACCGCAAGGCCUUGCGCGUUUGGAGCGGCCGGUGGCAGAUUAGGUAGUUGGUGGGAUAAAAGCUUACCAAGCCGACGAUCUGUAGCUGGUCUGAGAGGACGACCAGCCACACUGGGACUGAGACACGGCCCAGACUCCUACGGGAGGCAGCAGUGGGGAAUUUUGGACAAUGGGCGAAAGCCUGAUCCAGCAAUGCCGCGUGCAGGAUGAAGGCCUUCGGGUUGUAAACUGCUUUUGUACGGAACGAAAAGGCUCUGGCUAAUACCUGGGGCACAUGACGGUACCGUAAGAAUAAGCACCGGCUAACUACGUG